rnacentral:lncRNA from 1 species
AUGGGCAGGUUUGAGGGGAUUUGGGGUUCCAGGGUAGGUUUUGUGAGUUUGUGGAGGGUUCUGAAGUUCGGGAGGGGUCUCCAAGGCAUGAGGAAGUGGGGGGAUUUGGGGUUCCAGGGCAGAGCUGGGGCUGGGAGGGUCCGUUCUGGGGUCCUUCCUGCACCCCUCAGGCGCAGCACCGGCCGGGCUGCAGCGCCCCCUGCCGGUGCAGCGCCCCCGCGGGCCCCGCCCCCGCUCAGCAGCGCCGCGAGCGGCAGCAGCGGGAACAGCAGCGGCAUCAGCAGCGACACCGGGAACAGCAGCGGGAACAGCAGCGGCAGCGGGAACGGCAGCGGGAACAGCAGCGGGAACAGCAGCGGGAACAGCAGCGGGAACAGCACCAGGAACAGCGGCGGGAACAGCGGCGGGAACAGCAGCGGGAACAGCAGCGGCAACAGCAGCGGCAGCGGGAACGGCAGCGGGAACAGCAGCGGGAACAGCAGCGGGAACAGCAGCGGGAACAGAAGCGGCAACAGCAGCGGCAGCGGGAACAGCAGCGGGAACAGCAGCGGGAACAGCACCAGGAACAGCGGCGGGAACAGCAGCGGGAACAGAAGCGGCAACAGCAGCGGCAGCGGGAACGGCAGCGGGAACAGCAGCGGGAACAGCAGCGGGAACAGCACCAGGAACAGCGGCGGGAACAGCGGCGGGAACAGCAGCGGCAACAGCAGCGGCAGCGGGAACGGCAGCGGGAACAGCAGCGGGAACAGCAGCGGGAACAGCACCAGGAACAGCAGCGGCAACAGCAGCGGCAACAGCAGCGGGAACAGCACCAGGAACAGCAGCGGCAACAGCAGCGGCAACAGCGGCGGGAACAGCAGCGGCAGCGGGAACGGCAGCGGGAACAGCAGCGGGAACAGCAGCGGGAACAGCAGCGGGAACAGCAGCGGCAGCGGGAACGGCAGCGGGAACAGCAGCGGGAACAGCAGCCGCACCAGCAGCCUGGCAGUGCCCAGAGCCCCCGCUAGCCGCGCUCCCUGCAACCCUCUAAGGGGGCCCCUCAGCCCUGCCCCAUAG